rnacentral:rRNA from 1 species
UACAGAGGGCCCAAGCGUUGUUCGGAUUCACUGGGCGUAAAGGGUGCGUAGGCGGUCGGGUAAGUCUGAUGUGAAAUCUCACAGCUUAACUGUGAAACUGCAUUGGAUACUAUCCGGCUAGAGGAAUGGAGGGGAGACUGGAAUACUUGGUGUAGCAGUGAAAUGCGUAGAUAUCAAGUGGAACACCAGUGGCGAAGGCGAGUCUCUGGACAUUUCCUGACGCUGAGGCACGAAAGCGAGGGGAGCAAACGGG